GAGAUGAACGCGUCCAGGAAAUCCAGCCAUCUCUCAAGCAAGGACAGUGCAGAGACCGCGAGGGAUAUCAUCACCACGUCCGGCCAAAUCCAACCCCUCAAAAUCCCGGACGCUAUUGCUGCGCUCGCACAGGCUGCUGCAAAGGCAAAUGGUGAGACCGAGAAAUAUCUUCCAGGGUGGUCGUUGUUCUCGCCUCCUAAGGUGCAGCUGAACAAGUGUACCAAGUGCUCCAGAGAAUUCUAUUCUGCAAUCAACUUCCGGAGGCAUACACGUGUUCAUCGUAGAUCCCUUAAGAAUUUAAGAUAGAUAGGGAUUUUCCAAAGAAUAGAGACCUUCUCGCUGCAUUCUGGAAUAAACUCACUGUGGAUGAUGCCAGCAAAAUUUUGUCCUUGACAGGUGUUGUUAUUGAGGGUGUAACUGGUUCAUCAAUUUUGACAGCACUGUCAUCAUGGAUGUGUAAACCAGGGUAUGCUUCGUUGCCAGUUGCAUAUGCCAGAGCUGGCAGUGAGCUUCUGGAUCUAAUUCAAGCAAAGCCUUCAAUGCAUUUGCCUGUGUCAUCGGAUGAACUAUUUAGUUUGCUCGAUGAAGCAAGUGAAAAAACAUUUCUUUGCACAAAUAUAGUUGCUUGUAUACAGAAGUUUUUAUUUGAUGGAGAGGUAGAAAAAAAUGCAACUGAGUUGAAAAAUGUUGUUUCGUGCGCUAGUUACAUGCUUGAACAAAAGCUGCUUGAAGCAUGGUGUGCUGAUAAGACUGCUGAAGCAUUAAGAUGCCAGAAGUUGCUGGAGGAUGAAGAGGAAGCUGCUCAGAAAAGGCAAGCCGAACUGAUGAAAAGGAAGCGAAUGAAGAAACUUAGGCAGAAAGAACAGAGGUUAAAAAACCUCAAGGAUGAGGAUGUGUCAGUUCAGUCACCUGACAUCAUGGAUGAUGCGACAUGUUCUACGGCCAUUCAAAGUGUGAAUUCCAUUUAUGAUCCUGACUGUUUUGAGCAAGAAGAAUCACAGUAUCUUCAAUUUCCAGCACUAAUUACUUUGGAAACUAACAAUGAUUUUAAUGUGGACCUACCAGUAGAAGAUAUCAGUUGUGAUUUAGGGCCUAAAAUGGAUAAAGGUGUUGUAUUAAGGCAACAAGUUGUUUCAAGGCAUCAUUUAGGUAGAACGGAGAAGCUUGCUGAAAGUAGCAUUUUAUAUGGUUCCGUAGUUACUUCAAAGCAUGUAGCUUCAGCAAGGCCUUCAAAUUACAAGGAUCCAAAUGUCUGUUCUGCACCAAGUAGAAACAAAACUUGUGAAUUGAAACUAUGGUCUGAGAUUGAAGAACAGUGCCAAAAACAUGAGUUAGAUGUAGAUGAAUGUGGCAUGGGUCCUAGCAAAAACUCUCGUGUGCUAAUAGGAUCUAUAAUUGUCGCAAUUGAAGAUGGUAGUGAACACUUGCUGGACUUAGGUUCCAAGAAUGACCCAGUACCUCCCAGUUCAAAGACAAAGAAACAUGCAUCAGUCAAGGUGGUGCAACAAGUUACCUCUGAGGGAAACAGAAAUGAAGGUGUUCCUGAUAGUGAUAAUCGUUCUAGCCUCAGUGUUACUACAGAUGAAAUUAAUACAUAUAUUCAGCAGAUUAGGUGA